rnacentral:rRNA from 1 species
AUUUCGGGCUCGGGCAGGCUGUCGGCCUCGGUCGGACGGCAGGCUCGGGCCUUUCUGCCUGGGGACUCCGUCACACUUAACUGUGGGGCGGUUGGACGCAGGCCGUUUACUUUGAAAAAAUUAGAGUGUUCAAAGCAGGCCUACGCUUGAAUACAUUAGCAUGGAAUAAUGGAAUAGGACUUUGGUGCUAUUUUGUUGGUUUAUGGGACCGAAGUAAUGAUUAACAGGGACAGUUGGGGCCGUUUAUAUUUCGUUGUCAGAGGUGAAAUUCUUGGAUUUACGAAAGAUAAACUUCUGCGAAAGCAUUCGGCAAGGAUGUUUUCAUUGAUCAAGAACGAAAGUUAGGGGAUCGAAGACGAUCAGAUACCGUCGUAGUCUUAACCAUAAACUAUGCCGACUAGGGAUCAGUGGAUGUCAAUUUGCGACUCCAUUGGCACCUUGUGAGAAAUCAAAGUUUUUGGGUUCCGGGGGGAGUAUGGUCGCAAGGCUGAAACUUAAAGGAAUUGACGGAAGGGCACCACCAGGAGUGGAGCCUGCGGCUUAAUUUGACUCAACACGGGGAAACUU